GACGAACGCUGGCGGCGUGCUUAACACAUGCAAGUCGAACGGUAAGGCCCUUCGGGGUACACGAGUGGCGAACGGGUGAGUAACACGUGGGUGAUCUGCCCUGCACUUCGGGAUAAGCCUGGGAAACUGGGUCUAAUAACGGAUAGGACCACUGCCUGCAUGGGUGGUGGUGGAAAGCUUUUGCGGUGUGGGAUGGGCCCGCGGCCUCUCAGCUUGUUGGUGGGGUGAUGGCCUACCAAGGCGACGACGGGUAGCCGGCCUGAGAGGGUGACCGGCCACACUGGGACUGAGAUACGGCCCAGACUCCUACGGGAGGCAGCAGUGGGGAAUAUUGCACAAUGGGCGCAAGCCUGAUGCAGCGACGCCGCGUGAGGGAUGACGGCCUUCGGGUUGUAAACCUCUUGCAGCACCGACGAAGCGCAAGUGACGGUAGGUGCAGAAGAAGGACCGGCCAACUACGUGCCAGCCGCCGCCGUAA
rnacentral:rRNA from 1 species